AAGAAAAGACACCAGAGCACACUCUUUCUCCCUCUAUCAUGUGAGGACCCGGUGAGAAGGCAGCAGUCUCCAUCUAGGAAGGGAGCCCUCCUCCAGAACUGAGUCAGUGGACACCUUGAUCUUGGACUUCCCAGCCUUCAUACCUGGUUCCUCCAGAAGAAAAGUAUCACAAAUAAAUAGGAUGAUUAUCUAAAGUGAUGGAUCUACUUUUGAACACAAAAAUGCAACUAUGGAUACCAAGACAGAUCUGUGAUUGGCUUCCCUAGCUGACUUCUAGUUGAAGAAAUGCUAAAUUAGUUAAGGAAACAGUGCUCAUGCUUCCAUUUUUGGGAAGUCACACCAAAGAAGUGACAGGGGUAAGUUAUAGCAGGAGAUCAAAUAGAGCCUUGCAAAGAAAUAUCAAAAUGGUUUCUUGCUGCUAAGGGAAAGAAGAAAACACUUCUUUAAGAAAAAGAGGUAGUGUUAUGAAACCAAUGUGAGUCUUUUUCAGUA